UGGGCGUAAGGGCUCGCAGGCGGUUUCUUAAGUCUGAUGUGAAAGCCCCCGGCUCAACCGGGGAGGGUCAUUGGAAACUGGGAAACUUGAGUGCAGAAGAGGAGAGUGGAAUUCCACGUGUAGCGGUGAAAUGCGUAGAGAUGUGGAGGAACACCAGUGGCGAAGGCGACUCUCUGGUCUGUAACUGACGCUGAGGAGCGAAAGCGUGGGGAGCGAACAGGAUUAGAUACCCUGGUAGUCCACGCCGUAAACGAUGAGUGCUAAGUGUUAGGGGGUUUCCGCCCCUUAGUGCUGCAGCUAACGCAUUAAGCACUCCGCCUGGGGAGUACGGUCGCAAGACUGAAACUCAAAGGAAUUGACGGGGGCCCGCACAAGCGGUGGAGCAUGUGGUUUAAUUCGAAGCAACGCGAAGAACCUUACCAGGUCUUGACAUCCUCUGACAGCCCUAGAGAUAGGGCUUUCCCUUCGGGGACAGAGUGACAGGUGGUGCAUGGUUGUCGUCAGCUCUUGUCGUGAGAUGUUGGGUUA
rnacentral:rRNA from 1 species